AACCUAGCACACCUGCGGUGUGUACCUGCGGAAGGAUCAUUAUAGUAUAUGGAAUCUCCAUUCUAUAAACCCACUCUGCGUAUCUUGUAACUGUUGCUUCCAUGGGACUUGGUUCCGCCACACCGGCUUCACGGCUGGUGAGCGCCCAUGGAAGGAGAAACAAAACUCUUCUUUGAAAUGUAGUCAGUCUGAACAAGUUUUUAUAAACGUUAAAACUUUUAACAACGGAUCUCAGAUCGG
rnacentral:misc_RNA from 1 species